GCAGUCGUCAGGCAGACGGAUUUUCUCUGCUGUGUUCAUGAAGUGACCGCCACUGGAAGGACAUGACAAGACAAGACACCUGACAUGGACUGAUAUGGCUAAAAAGGAAAACAAAAGGGAUGAGAUCAGCAAAUGGAAACAGAAGAUAAGCCUGUGUAUCCCUGUCUUCUGCCAGAGAGGAUACAGGUACCUUCAUACCGCCACAAGCCAACACAAACAUGGAAACGUCAUCACUGCCUGAGCAGAGGUGGAGGGAGGAGUCCUUUCCUCUCCACGAAUCUCUCUCUGAUUAGCAGGAAAGGGUCAUCGUCCUCUGACAUCUCUUUGUCUCUGUAGUAUUGGCGGAAAAGAUCCUGAUUUCCCAGGUCAUCCCCGCUGCUCCCUCGCUGGUCUUUGCCAAAGUUUCCUCAACCUGCUCGCCGUGACCUCGGUUCGAGACAACAGUGAACAGAGUCACAUCUCCAGGAAGACCCCUCAUUGUGAUUUUGCCUUUGUAGUGGAUAUUUUUUCCUGCAAUAUAACCAAAAUACUUUAAAGAUACUAUGACAGUAUCAGAAUGGCAUUGGUGUUAUCGGAAAUAGCAAAUAUAAUUUAGUUGGCGUCAACAGUCUGUAUGAUAAGACCUAACCAAUGUUACUUAAUGUACAUAAAGUUCCUUAACUAUUCUGUCCUGUCCCAAGAAGACACAGUUAUGGAUAUCUGCUCAGAUAUAU